GACGAACGCUGGCGGCGUGGAUUAGGCAUGCAAGUCGGACGGUAGGGCUUUAUCGUAAGAUAGAGUUUGAGAGUGGCGAACGGGUGAGUAACACGUAGGAAUCUACCCUUAAGACGGGGACAACCCAGGGAAACUUGGGCUAAUACCGGAUGAGAGUGCGAGAGAUUGCAUUUAAAAGGAUGGCGAAAGUUGUCGCUUAGGGAUGAGCCUGCGGUCUAUUAGUUAGUUGGUGAGGUAAGAGCUCACCAAGGCGAUGAUAGAUAGGCGGCCUGAGAGGGCGACCGGCCACACUGGGACUGAGACACGGCCCAGACUCCUACGGGAGGCAGCAGUGGGGAAUAUUGCACAAUGGGCGAAAGCCUGAUGCAGCGACGCCGCGUGAGGGAUGACGGCCUCGGUUGUAACCGUCUUCUAGCAGGAGAAGACGAAAGUAGAGGUACCUGCAGAAGAAGACACCGCGAACUACGUAGCCAGCAGCCGCGGUAAAGUACUACU
rnacentral:rRNA from 1 species